rnacentral:rRNA from 1 species
AUUGAACGCUGGCGGCAGGCCUAACACACGCAAGUCGAACGGUAACAGGAAGCAGCUUGCUGCUUCGCUGACGAGUGGCGGACGGGUGAGUAAUGUCUGGGAAACUGCCUGAUGGAGGGGGAUAACUACUGGAAACGGUAGCUAAUACCGCAUAACGUCGCAAGACCAAAGAGGGGGACCUUCGGGCCUCUUGCCAUCGGAUGUGCCCAGAUGGGAUUAGCUAGUAGGUGGGGUAACGGCUCACCUAGGCGACGAUCCCUAGCUGGUCUGAGAGGAUGACCAGCCACACUGGAACUGAGACACGGUCCAGACUCCUACGGGAGGCAGCAGUGGGGAAUAUUGCACAAUGGGCGCAAGCCUGAUGCAGCCAUGCCGCGUGUAUGAAGAAGGCCCUCGGGUUGUAAAGUACUUUCAGCGGGGAGGAAGGCGAUAAGGUUAAUAACCUUGUCGAUUGACGUUACCCGCAGAAGAAGCACCGGCUAACUCCGUGCCAGCAGCCGCGGUAA